rnacentral:rRNA from 1 species
AUUGAACGCUGGCGGCAUGCCUUACACAUGCAAGUCGAACGGCAGCACGGGUGCUUGCACCUGGUGGCGAGUGGCGAACGGGUGAGUAAUACAUCGGAACAUGUCCUGUAGUGGGGGAUAGCCCGGCGAAAGCCGGAUUAAUACCGCAUACGAUCUACGGAUGAAAGCGGGGGACCUUCGGGCCUCGCGCUAUAGGGUUGGCCGAUGGCUGAUUAGCUAGUUGGUGGGGUAAAGGCCUACCAAGGCGACGAUCAGUAGCUGGUCUGGGAGGACGACCAGCCACACUGGGACUGAGACACGGCCCAGACUCCUACGGGAGGCAGCAGUGGGGAAUUUUGGACAAUGGGCGAAAGCCUGAUCCAGCAAUGCCGCGUGUGUGAAGAAGGCCUUCGGGUUGUAAAGCACUUUUGUCCGGAAAGAAAUCCUUGGCUCUAAUACAGUCGGGGGAUGACGGUACCGGAAGAAUAAGCACCGGCUAACUACGUG